UCUUGACUAGUAUAUCGGUUUAGUACAGCCGCUUGUCAAUUUGCGUCAAUCGCGGCAGAGCUGGGUUCGACUCCCAGGUCGAGAG